rnacentral:lncRNA from 1 species
UGUUCCAUCUCAUUUCCCUUUGGGGUUGCUGUAGGUGAUCUGGAAGUCUAGUUUUAAGACUUAUUUAUGUGUUUUCUCAUUUCGACUGGGGCGGCGGGCUGUUAGUGCCUGCACGGAUUACCUCCUCUGAGCUGGGUGAGGUGGGACAGGGGCUGGGAGCAGCGGUAGGGAUGGUGACCCAAAAGCCCUUUCCUGUGGGCUAGGAAGAGCGGGAGGGAUGGUGGCCUGGAAGCCCCUUCCUCUGGGCCAGGAGCAGCGGGACAGAAGGUGGCCCCAAAGCCCUUUCCUCUGGGCUGGGAGCAGCGUGAGGGAUGGUGACCGGAAGCCCCUUUGUCUGGACCAGGAGCAGUGGGAGGACGGCUCAGAAGCCCCUACCUCUGUGCCGGGAAUAGCGGGACUCAGUACCUUGGUCUGGUGGUGUGGUGUCCUCUGCGUCUUUGUAGUGUGGAACCAGGUGGCUGCCUGUCUGCCGCGGGGUGAUUCGGCGUCUUCUGCGCGACUCAGGACCUCGGUAGGGCGUGCACAGACCUGCCUGUCUGCAGCGGGCUGAUUCGGCGUGUUCUGUGAGACUCAGGACCUCGGUAGGGCAUGGGCAGACCUGCCUGUCUGGAGCGGGGUGAUUCGGCAUCUUCUGCGCGACUCAGGACCUCGACUAUACACAGGCUGGCUCCAGGAGGCUGGGACCCAGUUUCCCUCCCACAAGAAAGGAGCGAAUGAACUGAAAAUGGCUGGAAGGAUACAGCAGAGUAUCUCCAUGUAGUCCAGGUUGGCUGCCAACUUGUGGACUUCCAACCUCCAGAACAGUGAAAAUAAAUGCUUCUACAUCCAUCCAGUGAUUGUCACCUGAGGCAACAAAAACCAUGACCCACCUGGUGUAAGGAGUCACCAAAAUGCCAGAAGCAGCCUGGUGCCCCAGGACCAUGAGAAUUGCUCUCUGCACUCCCCAAACACUGUCAACUGGAGUCAUCUUCCUGAGUGACUGGAUCUUCACUGCCGCUUGCUCAGGCCCUGGAAGAUCACCCCAAAGCACUCCACCUUGUUUGUCCUGCUGCUUUCUAAACCUGGGGAUGUGAGUUAGUGACAAAACAGGAUGAAAUCCCUGAAAUGGAUAAAGUCAAUGAGAUUGAAGAAAACCUGGGCAGCAGGAGAGAAAGGAGAGAAGCAGCACACUUUCUCUUCAGGAAGCACCAUGCUACUUGCAAGUUGCAGAGAAUACAUUUCAGUCCUCUGCAUGGCUCCUUUCAGCCUGCAUCGAGAAGAUAUGCUGGAGGAAGCAGAUACGGAGAACAAGAAUCUUUAUUUUAUUAAAAACAAUAAAACUGUAGAACUAUAGAAGUGAGGCC